GUGGGCCUGGCUUCCCAGUGUGAAGGUGCAGGGUUCUCUGAGCGAGUCCACGCAUUCUGCAUCCUUGUCACACUGCUCUACACCCUGGGGUUUUCAGUAAAGGCUCUUUCCUGACAAAUUAAGUCCAAAGGGUGACGGGAAACACAGUAACCUUUCUCUGUUCUUUUCAUGGUUUCCUGCCAGGAUUUGCUGUUUGGAGACGUGGGAACGCCGCACUGAGAUGACUUUUCAGCCAGCUGAUAACUGAUGCUUUCGGCCACGACACAGAGCAUUAUUAGUAGUGCAACUGACUAACAUGAAAAAUAGUGAUUCUCAUAACAAAAGGAAUGUAGCCACAAUAAGAGAAAAAUCCUAGCCAACAGAAUGAUCUGAAGGAAAACGCUAUUGAUAAUGAAAUGGGGUUUAUUGAAUUAACUGUUCCAUUUAGCAGACACAUGAGCGGAACCCAGGAUGGAAGAAUGUAAUCACCAGCGUGACUCCAGUGAUGGAACUGAACUAGAUGCGGAGACUGGGGAGCAGCAGAGUCAACUCAGUUAUCAUCUCGGCGGCCGGGCUGCCAUCCAGCUCACGGAAGCCAUCUGAUCCGGAAAAGAUUUCUGACGCCUGCUGGAGCUGUUUCCAUACAGGCAGAGGCCAGUGUCAUCUCCAGCACCUGGGAGACAUAAGAGAAAGAGCCAGUGGCCUUCCUCUGAGACAAUCUCAAAUGAAUAUGCUUGACCCAGAUGAGGGAAGGAUCACACAGAUUCUGUCGAGGCAGCCCCAGGCAGCCCCAGGCAGCAGAUCUGGAAAUCCUUGGGAGAUUACCAUGGAAUGCAAACACUCAGCGCCACCCUGUGCUAAGAGCCAGAGUGUGGAUGCUAAGUUUGGGAAGACAAAACAGACUAUAGAUGCAUGGUCUUUCUCAAUCCUACCCAGCCAGGAUGAUGUGGAGAAGAUCAUCUGGGUGCCUCUUGGCAGAAGGUAA
rnacentral:lncRNA from 10 species